rnacentral:rRNA from 1 species
AACGAACGCUGGCGGCAGGCUUAACACAUGCAAGUCGAACGGGCGUAGCAAUACGUCAGUGGCGGACGGGUGAGUAACACGUGGGAAUAUGCCUUUCGGUUCGGAACAACUCGGGGGAAACUCGUGCUAAUUCCGGAUACGCCCUUACGGGGAAAGAUUUAUCGCCGAAGGAUUAGCCCGCGUUGGAUUAGCUAGUUGGUGAGGUAAUGGCCCACCUAGGCGACGAUCCAUAGCUGGUUUGAGAGAACGACCAGCCACACUGGGACUGAGACACGGCCCAGACUCCUACGGGAGGCAGCAGUGGGGAAUCUCGGACAAUGGAGGAAACUCUGAUCCA